rnacentral:lncRNA from 1 species
CGAGAAGCUGACGUGGAUAGGAAGCUUGGAGUAUCUUGGAGGAUAUUUGAAGAAAAUAUCAAGUUUCCUCUAUCUUGGGAGAAGAUAAGGAAGGUGAAGAUUCUCAUGAAGAUUUGAAGAAAUCACAAGGAGGAUCUAGGCGAGGAGUAGCCGCAAGUCCUAUUAUGUAUAAAUAGGCGUAUGAAAAACCGUGUAGGGUUUUUAACACAACUGAGAGAAUACUUAGCAAAGGGUGAGCG